UGCCCUUUGUAAAGAGCCCAGACUGUCCUCAGAUGUCCUCUGGAAUUUGGAGAUGAAACCCACUUCAGACAAAUCACUUAGCCUCUGAGGGCCUCCUCGGUCUUCUCACUUGUGAAAUGGGCCGGUUACAGAAACUGUUAGGUGGGGGCAAGGUGAGUGGCUGCAGAGGGCUUGCACGGGAACCGUCAACAGGUCAGUGGGGAGCAUUGCUGGCGCUCUAGCUCAGUCGGCCGCGUCUCUGGUCCUCAGCGGCUUGUUGCCCCAGCGUGCUGGCUCCCUUUACUGUUUUUUUUUUUUUUUCCUCCCCUAAUAUUUAUUUAUUUGACUGUGCUGGGUCUUAGCUGUAGCAUGUGGAAUCUAGUUCUCUGACCAGGGAUCGAACCUGGGCCCUCUGCAUUGGGAGAGGGGAAGAGCGGAGUCUUAGCCACUGAACCACCAGGGAAGUCCACCCUUUACUGUCUGUUGGCAGGCUGCGAGCUUCUGUGGGGCAGGGGAUGGAUGAGGAGUGCUGGGGGCUGAAGCCUGCUGGGGACCAGGUGGCCUGGAGAAGUCUACUCAGCAGCCCCUGCCUGUGGGGCUCUGUGCCAACGUCCCGAGUCGCAGCUGCCUGGAGUCUGGGAGAGCUGAGCUGGCCUGAGACAGAGGGGCUGGAGAAGGCCCUGGGCACAGUCCCCCAUGACCCCCGUUUUCUCUGCGGCUUUCUCCUGCAGGAGGCGGCAGGGGGCUGGGCUGGAGGCUCACCGUGGGAGUGAGGAAGCUGGUCGCUGGGUUUCUGCACCUGCUCAGGCCUCUCCCAGAGGGUGCCUCACUGCCCCCACCUCUACCUCCAGCGGCAGCACAGGGUGACGGAGGCUCGGCGAGCAGACAUCCACGGCCUGCCUCAGCUCCCCGUCUUCAGGGCCCUGGUGGGUCCCCUUCUCCCACUCCUGGCUUCCCCCAGACAGGAUGUUGUCCUGUUGUCUUGCUCACUGCAGACUCCUGCCUCCCGCCCUGAGUGAGGGCUCCUCCCAGGUGGCCCGCUGCGUCCCCCCUCAGCCCGGCUCAGCCACAGGGGACGGGCCACUUGUCAAACGCUCUUGUUUAAUUUUCCUCGCUCACAGUCUGCUUGUUCCAACACCCUGCAAUGACACGGGUGUUAACCGAGCACCGGGGACUAUAAUUAUCGGGGCUGAGAGACGAGAAGCUCCUGGUGGUGCAGCAGCUGCAGACAGGAGCGCCGCCCAAUCUGUCCCCGGAGAGGAGCCGCUCGGCCGACUCGUGUCUGAAGAGCCGCCGGUUUUGAGCAAACUCUGCUGGGCCUCCUGUCCCUGGAUUUUUGGAGUUGAAUCCAAGAAUGAUGAAGAGUCUGAAAAGCUCCAUCUCCACCUGCUUUGCUGAGGGAACAAGAGGCUGACACUGUCAUCGGAAAGGUGGCCUUGUGCAGUCCGAGGAAGGGUUACCACUUCUACCCAGGAGCCUGUGGUUUUUCUCCACCUUUGGAAGGUCCUUCAGGUAAGAGCCCUGUGCCUUUCUGGAGUGGUUCCUCUGUUGUGUUUUUAUUCAGUGUUGCCAUUCUUUCAAGUUGUCGGCUCCUCCAGUCGUCACCAUGUCCUCCCUAGCCUCUGCCGUCCCCUGGUGCCUGAAGCCCCAGAUCACUUUAGCUUCGGCUGGUUUCAAAGGGGGUUGGGGACUUGAGCUACCUUGCCGGGAGGUAACUCUUAGGACUCCCUUCUGGAAACCAGAUACGGAUUUGCUGAAUGCCUGCCNNNNNNNNNNNNNNNNNNNNNNNNNNNNNNNNNNNNNNNNNNNNNNNNNNNNNNNNNNNNNNNNNNNNNNNNNNNNNNNNNNNNNNNNNNNNNNNNNNNGACUCCCUUCUGGAAACCAGAUACGGAUUUGCUGAAUGCCUGCCAGGCACCAGGCACUGUUCUGGCUGCUUUACAUGGCUCAGCCCAGUGAUUCCUCCCGAGGGCCUGCUGGGAGGGUGUUCUUACCUUCACUCAGAGGUGUAGCAUGGUGGAGGACUCUUUUGGAGUCACACAGCCAGUUGGCAGGAGAGCCCAGAGCUGACCUGCUCCCAGGCCUGUGAGCCUUCAGUCACUAUGCUGCUGAGGACGGCUGGUUCACCCGGGGUCUGGGACCCCGCCCCUGGAGGAGCUCUGUUGGUCAAGACUGGAGGGUACAUGGGUGUCAUGCAGGCUGCAAGGGACAGGUCUCAGGCAAGGGACAGAACGUCCCAACUUAGCUGCAACAGUGACCAUCACCCCAGCCUCACUAGGUCCAGGCUUGUUAGGUCCCUCUCUUGGUCCCAGCCAAGUGUCUCAAAGUGGGCCUUCGGGAUACAGUUACAUGGUUCCAGGGACAUAGGGUCCUGUUCCCCACAAGACAGACCCUGCAGGUCUGCUCACAGGCUCCCUAGAGCGGCCCCUCCCUAGCCUGUGUUGUCUCGCCCUUGUGCCCUUCUAAAUUCUCUGGGUGACACUUUAUUUCUAAACAUCAAAGCAAGUUUGAAUGAAUUGUUUUAUUUAGUAUUUAUAUUUUCUUAUUUUGAAGUGUUUUUUUUUCCUGCUAAUAUUUACUAUGAAAAAUUUAAACAACAGAGUAUAAAACACAUUUAGGUAUUCAAUAAAUACUUGAAGGACAAAUGAAUGUAAUAUAGGAAGUGUAAAUUGCCUUGGUCUCCCAGAAACAACCAUUGUCAGUAGCUAGUUAAAUAAAGUUUCGUAUUUUUUUUUCUAGGCAUACAUAUAUAAUCUAUACUUGUUAUUUAUAUGAAUGGACUGAUAUGAUACAUACUGUUCCACAUUCAUUUAAUAGCAUCUUGGGCUGCUUUCUACAUCAUCUGCACACAAACCUCUACUUCUUUUUGGACACCUGCUUUGUGUUUUGCUGUAUAGAUGGCCUUCAAUUUAUUAAGGCCUUUACUGAUGGACAUUUGGGAUGUUUCCAACUUUUCGUUGUUUCAGACCAUGUUGCAAAUGGUAUACUAUUUUGAAAGGCCUCUUUGAAAUGAAUAAAAAAAUUCUAGAGUGUGUUAACUCUGUACUAGAAAUGAUUGAUCANNNNNNNNNNNNNNNNCUUUGCUAAUCCAGCCACUCAGAAUCAGUCCCUUUUUCCUGGGUCCCCCUGCCCAUGACUUGCUUCAUCUUUUCCCUUUUCCGAAGCCUGGCCUGCCUGGGUGUCUGCCCUCUGGACAGUGGCAGCACGCAGCUUUCUCUGUCUUUCUUUUCCUUUUUUUUGUUGUUGGUGGUGGGGAUUUGUUUUUAAUUUUUUUUUUAAAU
rnacentral:lncRNA from 1 species